GUGCCUUGGCGCAUUUCUAGUGCCUCGGCGCUUUUGGGGUGCCUUGGCGCAUUU
ensembl:ncRNA B0454.16 ncRNA